rnacentral:tRNA from 1 species
UGAGGCCCUAGCUUAAUUAAAGUUUCUGAGUUNCAUUCAGGAGAUGUAGGUUAGAGUUUUACAGGUCUU